ensembl:lncRNA
GGGAAAACACUGUGGCUAAGAGAAAGAUGCAGCUUUCAUGUUUCCUCAAAAUAAUGACAGGUAGAAUUGCUAUGGUGGAACAUUUGUGUGAAGGGAGGCAAGAACUAUGAUUAAAAUGGCUAAUUCACUGAAAACACAACUAGGAAGACUGCAUUCUUCCAAAUCCUCAGAAAAAGUUGAAAUUCUGAGUGUGGUAGGAGACAGGAGCAGCCAGCAGCAGCCUUAUACCUGCAUCCUGUAUUCAAUGAGUUCCAUACAGAACAUUCACUCUUGUUACAAUCCAUUAAUGAUUGGAUUGGAUGUUUUGUUGUAAAAGGAUGCAGUGGUGCUUAGUGGCAGCUUAGGAAAAUCCAACAUCUGCUGCAAAUGUCUGCCAUCCCUCAUGUUGGUUGCCUUGUCCUAGGAAAAUAAUGUUGAAGUCAUUUUUGUUAAUUAGUUAGAUAUUUUAAAUCAUCAUGGGCCAUAGAAAAAAAGUGAUCAACUUUUGGUGUGAGUUGCACCACUAUGUGGCCGUAUACUGCACACAAUGAAGCAGUGGUAUUUGCACUUCUGCUAUAUAACCCCUGCAAGCUAAAAAGUCUGGUGGUAAUGACUUUCAGUACCAGCUCAAAUCUGUCCUAAAUUUCAAACACAGUUAAGCUUCUUUCAAUUAUUGCAUAAUAUUCUUUUAUGCCUGGCUGUUUUGGAGGUUUAUGGUUUGAACAUAAUCAAGCUGCCACAACAGUUGAAUAGGAUCAACAUAUAAAUGGAUGUGAAGUUGUGAAUUCAUCUUUGCCUUGAUGUUUUGUUAUAUUCAAUAAUCAGAUGCCACCAAAAUUGUCCACUAUGAUAUGUUUUUGAUUAAACGAGCAUAACUGGAUUGAAUUUUGAAAUGAAUUCAAUUCAAUUUUAUUUAGUUUAAUGCAGUUUAUUUAUUUUUAUCCCCUGAAUGUGGGGGUGUGAAGCAUUCCCAGCAAUACACAGAGCUGGGUCAGUUUGUCUUUACCACUGAGGUAACAGAGGAGUGGAGUUACCAGUAUGGAUUUACAGCGUGGAAAAGUAAGAGAACUGUGGCUUCACCUAAACUACAGCAAUGAACACAUUCUUUUCAAUGUGGCAGUAAAUGGCCUCACCAUGACAUUGUAACUCUCUUCAUGGACCUUUAGACGCCUCCAUGAUGCUUUUUGUGAUGCUACAUCCCCACUGUCCAAUCAAACUUUGUCUCUAAGUGAAAAAAACUACUUCAAUAAACAAUUGUACAGCAGCAGUGGUGAUUGGCAGAACAAUAAUGUCAUUGUGCAUUUUUUAAUUUAUGUUGAAUGCUAUGCCAUACCAUACCUGAUACACUGUGCGUGUCUGUAUGUGUGUGUUUUCUCAUCACCUGGUUGAUCACAUCUCUCUGAUUGAAAGCUGGGGUGAAGGAUGUGUACAGUGUAUUGAAAUACAGGUAUUGACUUUUGUUGCAAAAUUAAUGUAAUAAAUUGUACAAAAAUAUAUAUAUAUUGUGAGGCACGUUUUCUAUUUCUUUCACUGAUGUCCUCUUCAGUUUGCAUGAUACAACAGGAAGUUGAUUGGGUUUGAACAGUUUGUGCAUAAAAUGUUUCUGCAGACAUGCAUAUGAACAAGAUGCACUGGG